GUGCCAGCAGCCGCGGUAAUACGAAGGGGGCUAGCGUUGUUCGGAAUUACUGGGCGUAAAGCGCACGUAGGCGGAUAUUUAAGUCAGGGGUGAAAUCCCAGAGCUCAACUCUGGAACUGCCUUUGAUACUGGGUAUCUUGAGUAUGGAAGAGGUAAGUGGAAUUGCGAGUGUAGAGGUGAAAUUCGUAGAUAUUCGCAGGAACACCCAGUGGCGAAGGCGGCUUACUGGUCCAUUACCUGACCGCUGAGGUGCGAAGAGCGUGGGGAGCAAACAGGAUUAGAUACCCUGGUAGUCC
rnacentral:rRNA from 1 species